AAACUUGAUAAAACGGUUGAAAACCUAACUAAAUUACAUAGGUACUUUCUGAAAAGAUGCUUGGCGAUGAAAUUUAAAAAUGAAGACAAUGGAUUUCCAUUUCUGCAUAAAUCCAACAAUCAUUUUGGUAUGCUUAAGACCAGUUAAUAAUACUUAUAUUCCUUACGGAAUUGGAAUGGUUUGGGGUAAAAAACAUUGAACAAGAGUACUUACUGGAUGCAACUAUUGCAUAUGAUUUGGCAGUUGUGAAUACUUUUUAACAAAAGAAAUAUGCACAUUUGAUAACCUAUAACAACAAGCAACAUCUCACUGACAUAAGAAAUCAAGAUAAAGCACCCUGGUGUAUGACAUCAUGCUUUUGAAGAGGAUUAAAGAUGUACAGAGCAGGUUGGAAGAAGGUUUAAACAUUGAGAUACAAAAAUGGAUUAGAACAAGUUAUACAGCCAGGCUUUAAGAAAGCACGGGAAGAUACAG